ACCUGGAACUUUUCUAGGUUAUGAUUGUUUUUUUUUCAGGUUAACAACUUAUUUUAUGUCAUUUUUGCUAAUUUGAUUAUGAUUUCUAUAAUUUAAUUGUUGUAAUAAUCUGAACUAUCAAAAUUAUUUUUGGAAAAUUGGGUCUAUAUAUAUUUGCUAUAUAUUUGUCUUUUAAUUGUUAUUCUUCAACUUUUUUACUUUUGUAAAAAUUUCUUUCUAGACAAUAUAGGUAUAUAUGAAAACUUACUUUCAUGAUAUUCUCUAUCUUUAAAUGUCGUAUUUUAUGAUCAAUGAUAGCUUUCCUUGGAAUGACUUUUUGCUUAUCUUUUUUCUUUUACUUUGUUCUUUCAGUUAAUCGAUCUUAGUCAUUAUUUAUUUAUAUAAUGAAAUUUUAAACUAAAGAAUUUGAUGCAAUUAAGUUGUUCGAUGAUAUGCCUACAACAACUAAACAAUUCAUUUGGUUAGUGAAACUGUAAAGCAAGUGAAGAAUAAACCCCUUCAAAAGGGUAUAGACUCUAAUAACAGACCCGAGAUAAACGAAGAAGUUCAUGAGAGUUUGUCACGACCCUAAAUCCACACACGGUCGUGAUGGCGCCUCUCAUGAAGACAAGGCCGGCCGACACUUUCCCAUUCCAGUUUUAAGCAAUUUAACAGUAAGUAUUAUGUCUUAAACUCGAUAAAAUUCCAAAUAAUAAGCAGUGAACAUUACAGUUUGCGGAAAUAAAACCCAACACAGCCUGAUACCAGCAGAUUAUAUAUAUUUUUAAAUACUCACUAAACAUUAUCGAAAUUAUUAGUUUUAACUAAUAAAUAUCCAGCCCCCUUGUGAUGAUGUUGGGAAGGUUGAUUAUGUUGCCGCUGUAAGGGAGAUUGUAGGUUGUGAGGAGAAAAAUGGAGAAGGCGAGAUAUUAGGAGUCAAUGUGUGAGUGAAAUAUCAACAGACCACUAACUCAUUAAGCCAACCUGCAAAUCAGGAGAUACAAUUUAUAAUCCAAGCUAGACAGGGUACUAUAUCAGAUUAGAAGAUAUGAUAAGGACGAGAAUACUGAUAUGCAGAGUGAGUUUUACCCACAGACUAAGAACAGAUUAAUAAUAACCCGAGAAGACAAAAUUGAGAAUGUAUCUUAAGCAACACUUCUCAAGUAAUGAGUAAUCUGAAUCAUAGUGAAAUUAAUAGAGUAGCAAAUUGUGUGAAUCCAUACCUUUUGACUCUUUUUCAAGUUUUAUUUUAAAACAAUAAUAAAGAUGAUCAAGAAGAAUGUUUUGUCAACCUAUUUGUACUGUUUAAUAAGGCACAUGGUAUUUAAGAUAUUAUAUUUGUACAAAUAAUAUGUUGGCGCUAUAUGUUUCAUGUUACUAACUAUAGAGGUGAAUGAAAGUCUUAAACUGAUCUUGCAUCAUCAAGUUCCUUGUUAGUCUUUUCAAUACAGUUUCAAUUAUAGGAUCCUCUAUUUCUAUUUUUGGUUAGAGGAAUAAUGUUUGGCAUGAUAUUUUCUUGUAUAAAGAACUUCGCUUUUGGUUGGAAAAAAGUGGAUCCAUUAAUGGAUUAUCACAAUUUUAUCUGCAAUCAGGGUACUACUCUCUAUUAUAUAUUUGACUUUUCAUCUAUGUUUUUCCAUCAACUCAAAGUUGGUUGUGAUUUACAUACUUUUUGAUCAACCCAAAAUUGAUUGUGAUUUACAUGAUUUUUGAAGGUAAUAUAAAACUUCUCUGCUUUUCAGGAAUAUUGAAUGUUAGAGGAUGACAACUAAAUUGGGGACUAUUGCUUGUACACACGAGGAGUGACGGAUUAAGUGUGUGUUUGUUAUCUAGAAGAAAUUAAGUAUAGCUUUUGGAUGUUAUAUCUGUGAUAGUUGGAUGCAUCUUUUCCACAUAUUAUAUAAAUAAGUGUUGUUGGUCAUUAGGUUAUCAAAAUCUUAUAUUAUAUGUUAUGCUGCCCAUUGUAUUAACGGUUGAUUUUUUACAAUGCAUAUUGUAUAAAUAACCUUUCUUUUGUAGUCUGUAAAACUUAGUG
rnacentral:lncRNA from 1 species